rnacentral:rRNA from 1 species
AUUGAACGCUGGCGGCAUGCUUUACACAUGCAAGUCGAACGGUAACAGGCCGCAAGGUGCUGACGAGUGGCGAACGGGUGAGUAAUGCAUCGGAACGUGCCCAGUCGUGGGGGAUAACUACUCGAAAGAGUAGCUAAUACCGCAUACGAUCUAUGGAUGAAAGCGGGGGACCGUAAGGCCUCGCGCGAUUGGAGCGGCCGAUGUCAGAUUAGGUAGUUGGUGGGGUAAAGGCUCACCAAGCCAACGAUCUGUAGCUGGUCUGAGAGGACGACCAGCCACACUGGGACUGAGACGCGGCCCAGACUCCUACGGGAGGCAGCAGUGGGGAAUUUUGGACAAUGGGCGCAAGCCUGAUCCAGCAAUGCCGCGUGCAGGAAGAAGGCCUUCGGGUUGUAAACUGCUUUUGUACGGAACGAAACGGCUCUGGUUAAUACCCGGGGCUAAUGACGGUACCGUAAGAAUAAGCACCGGCUAACUACGUG